GGGGUCUACCAUUCUUCUUGUUCUACUCUACGAUAGCUGCUCAGUUCCUCCAUGAUAAGCCUAACCGAAGCUUCCUUAGAACCCUCUUUUGCCUCCUAUUCUCUCUUCUGGUCAGUGAUCUUAAUUUUGUCUCUAUAAAUUGCGUUAGUUUAUGUGGAUUGACUAAGUUUUUGUAAGCAUGUGAAAAACAGCGAGCUAUGGUAUCAAAAUUCAUCGAAUCAUAUGUUACCUGGAAGCUUCCUCUAGAGAAAUAUGGUCUUAAACCGGACCAUCCUUUUGAAGAAGACUAUGCUUCUUGUCAAAUGGCG
rnacentral:lncRNA from 1 species